CGCGUAGGAAUCUACCUGGUAGUGGGGGACAACUCGAGGAAACUCGAGCUAAUACCGCAUACGCCCUAAGGGGGAAAGCGGGGGAUCUUCGGACCUCGCGCUAUUGGAUGAGCCUGCGUUGGAUUAGCUUGUUGGUGGGGUAAAAGCCCACCAAGGCGACGAUCCAUAGCUGGUCUGAGAGGACGAUCAGCCACACUGGAACUGAGACACGGUCCAGACUCCUACGGGAGGCAGCAGUGGGGAAUUUUGCGCAAUGGGCGAAAGCCUGACGCAGCAACGCCGCGUGUGUGAUGAAGGUCU
rnacentral:rRNA from 1 species